UAAGUUUCGUGAGUGAAAAUAAAAGCGAAAGUCGUGUGUGUGAUUCUGUUUAGCGACGGAAUUUCCGAAAUAGCCGAAAGGCCUAAUUUCGUCAUCGACACAGAAUACGUUCAUGCUGGGUCGUAACUUUAAGUUUAGCAGAGCGGUAUAGAGC